rnacentral:rRNA from 1 species
AGGGCGCAAGGUGAAUGCCUUGGCACUGGGAGCCGAUGAAAGACGUGGUAAGCUGCGAAAAGCUUCGGGGAGGAGCAAACAUCCAUUGAUCCGGAGAUAUCUGAAUGGGGCAACCCAAUGGAGUUCAUACUCCAUUAUCCAAUACUGAAUCCAUAGGUAUUGGAAGGGAACCGCCUGAACUGAAACAUCUAAGUAGGGCGAGGAAGAGACAUCAAACGAGAUUCCGUAAGUAGUGGCGAGCGAACGCGGAAGAGGGCAAACCGAGAGUAGAAAUACUUUCGGGGUACGGACUGCUUUUAAGACUCAAUCUGUUAACCGAACGGCAUGGGAAGGCCGGUCAGAGAGUGUGAGAACCACGUAGGUGAAAACGGAAAGAGCUGCGCAGGAUCCAGAGUACGGCCAGACACGUGAAACCUGGUCGGAAUACGGGGGGACCACCCUCCAACCCUAAAUACUACCCAGUGACCGAUAGCGUAUAGUACUGUGAAGGAAAGGUGAAAAGCACCCCGGGAGGGGAGUGAAAAAGAACCUGAAACCCUGUGCCUACAAGCACCUAGAGCGCGUCAAAGCGUGAUAGGGUACUUUUUGUAGAACGGUCCGGCGAGCGAUUGUAUGCAGCAAGGUUAAGGACUUAAGGUCUGGAGCCGAAGCGAAAGCGAGUUUGAAAAGGGCGUUAAGUUGCAUAUAAUGGGCCCGAAACCGGGUGACCUACCCAUGGUCAGGUUGAAGUGGAAGUAAAAUUCCAUGGAGGACCGAACCGACCUCCGUUGAAAAGGCGGCGGAUGAACUGUGGGUAGCGGAGAAAUUCCAAUCGAACCCGGAGAUAGCUGGUUCUCCCCGAAAUAGUUUUAGGACUAGCCUCAAGUUAGAUACCUGGAGGUAAAGCACUGAAUAGCCUAGCGGCCGAGAGGUUAGCGAAGCUUAUCAAACUCAGAAUGCCAGAGUAUUGAUGCUUGGGAGUCAGACAGUGUCAGAUAAAUGUCAUUGUCAAAAGGGAAACAGCCCAGAUCUACAGCUAAGGUCCCAAAGUCAGGUUAAGUGGAAAACGAUGUGAAGAUACGCAGACAACCAGGAUGUUGGCUCAGAAGCAGCCACUCAUUCAAAGAGUGCGUAAUAGCUCACUGGUCGAGCGUCUUUGCGCGGAGAAUUUAACGGGGCUAAACCUGACACCGAAGCUUAGGCAAUGCACGUAAGUGUAUUGGGUAGGGGAGCGUUGUAUACGCGGAGAAACAGUAGCGUAAGCGGCUGUGGAGUUUACAGAAGUGAGAAUGCCGGAAUGAGUAGCGCGAAUGUGGUGAGAAUCCACAUGGCCGGAAACCUCAGGUUUUUGGAGGAAGGUUCGUCCGCUCCAAGUUAGGCGGGAGCUAAGGUCAGGCCGAAAGGCGUAGCCGAUGCACAUACGGUUGAUAUUCCGUAACCAUCUGUAAUUUAAGCAAAGGGACACUUCAAAAGGGUGUGACCCGGGCGUUGGUUGACCCGGGCGUAAGGGACCGAAAUUAGAGUAGGGAAGCACACUUAGCUGAAGGCGAGAAAAGCUUUGCGUAUAGAAGCAGAUGCCCGUACCGCAAACCGACACAGGUGGACAGGAAGAGAAUUCUAAGGCCAGCGGGAGAAGGGUAGUUAAGGAACUCGGCAAAUUGACUCCGUAACUUCGGAAUAAGGAGUGCUCGAAAGAGCCGCAGAGAAUAGGCCCAGGCGACUGUUUAGCAAAAACACAGGUCUCUGCCAAAUCGAAAGAUGAAGUAUAGGGGCUGACACCUGCCCGGUGCCGGAAGGUUAAGAGGAGGAGUGAGAGCUCCGAAUUGAAGCCCCGGUGAACGGCGGCCGUAACUAUAACGGUCCUAAGGUAGCGAAAUUCCUUGUCGGGUAAGUUCCGACCCGCACGAAAGGUGUAACGAUUUGGGCACUGUCUCAACGAGGGACCCGGUGAAAUUGAAAUACCUGUGAAGAUGCAGGUUACCCGCGACUGGACAGAAAGACCCCAUGGAGCUUUACUGUAACCUGACAUUGGGUUUUGAUACAUUACGUACAGGAUAGGUGGGAGGCAUGGAAAGCUGGACGCUAGUCUGGCUGGAGCCGACGUUGGGAUACCACCCUUGAUGUAUUGAAAUUCUAACCGCGAGAGUAACGAAAUCCGGGACAGUGUCAGGCGGGCAGUUUGACUGGGGCGGUCGCCUCCGAAAGAGUAACGGAGGCGCCCAAAGGUUCCCUCAGCGCGGCCGGAAAUCGCGCGAAGAGUGUAAAGGCAGAAGGGAGCUUGACUGCGAGUCAAACACGACGAGCAGGUACGAAAGUAGGGCUUAGUGAUCCGGUGGUACCGAGUGGAAGGGCCAUCGCUCAACGGAUAAAAGCUACCCUGGGGAUAACAGGCUAAUCUCUCCCAAGAGUCCAUAUCGACGGGGAGGUUUGGCACCUCGAUGUCGGCUCAUCACAUCCUGGGGCUGAAGUCGGUCCCAAGGGUUGGGCUGUUCGCCCAUUAAAGUGGUACGCGAGCUGGGUUCAGAACGUCGUGAGACAGUUCGGUCCCUAUCUGCCGUGGGCGCUGGAGAACUGAGGGGGGCUGCUCCUAGUACGAGAGGACCGGAGUGGACGCAUCACUGGUGUUCGGGUUGUCAUGCCAAUGGCACUGCCCGGUAGCUAAAUGCGGAAGAGAUAAGUGCUGAAAGCAUCUAAGCACGAAACUUGCCCCGAGAUGAGUUCU